AUGGUUCUCCUCCCUAAAUCCCAAGCACCAACCUCCCCAGAUGCCUUUCGACCAAUCUUGCUUCAAAAUUGCACUCCAAAAGCGGUGGCCAAGGUUCUCACCAAUCGAGUAAAACCUCUCAUCCCACUACUCAUACACUACGACCAAACUGGGUUCCUCCACAGACGCAACAUAGCCGAAAACUUUGUUUAUGCCGCCGAUAUCCUUAGCGCUUGCCACACUCGUAAAGCUCCAACCAUGGUAUUCAAACUAGAUUUUAGGAAAGCAUUUGACUCGAUCUGUUGGUCCUCUCUUAUAUCCAUCCUUCAAGCAAGGGGUUUCCCUCCGAUCUUCUGCGCCUGGGUCAACAACAUUCUUCAGACUGGCAAAACGACCAUUCUCCUUAAUGGCAAUCUGGGAUCCUGGAUCCAAUGUAGAAAUGGCCUUCGACAAGGAGAUCCAUUCUCGCCCUACUUGUUCAUCAUUGCAGCUUUCUUCAACGCUUGA
rnacentral:rRNA from 1 species